GUGGAGACCCCCACGCCGUGCCUCUCCCAUUCCCGAUCCGAUCCCUACCCACCCGGCCACCCCUAGCCGCCGCCGCCGCCGCCGCACCCCGCCCUUGUUGCCGUCGGCCUCGUCGGCGUCGUCCGCCGGUCCGGCGCCGUCCGUCGGCCUCGGACCUCCCGCCAUCCGCCACCGUCGGCCUCGUCGCUCGUCGGCGCGUCCCCAACUCCCAGUUCGCAGCCGCCAGGCGCCAGGCGGCCAGGUGCCAGCGCACCGGACUUCCACCCUGCGCGGCCACGCCACCUCCCUCCAAAUCUCAAAUCUGCUAUAGUGCUAUCUGCCUCACGGCCUCACCCACCCAGAAUCUACGUUGCUGCCCGUUGGCGCCGCCCGUCGCCCGCCGACCGGCGAGGGCCCAGCCUUUUUUCGUUUUGAGUUUCCAAUUCAUGUUCCGAUCGAACUAUUCCAUUUUCAAUAUUUUGUAAUACCGAUUUUGUUUUUCUAUCCGACUUUCCGCUUCCGUUCCCGAUUAAAAAAUGUGAUUGUGAGAAUGAUUAAGAUAUUUUCCCAACCGUUACCGACCGUUUCACAGUGUUGUUCUGAUGGGAUGGGUCGGCGCCUCAGCGGGACUCCAACAAUUCCCCGGCUCAGGUUUUCUCUACUACUAAAAAGAAUGUAAGGAAUCGUCGACAGGUGUGACCAUGGCCUCGCUCGCAGGGUGCACCCCUCCCGCCCACUCCCCGCCUCCCUCUGCUCCCCUCCCGGUCUCUCCCCGCACGCCUGUCAGCCCCGGUCCCCCUCCCCCAUGCUCGCCGCGGUCCCGGGAACCCGCGCCUCCUCCAUCUCCGCCUGCGCCGGAGCUCGAGCAGCCCCUGCUCUUCUCCGCCGGCGCGACGGUGCCCCUGCUCCUUCGCCGACGCGUCGCUGCAUCGGCCGAGCCCCGCGUGAAGCCGGACGCACCCCUACGCCGCGCGGGCCUCCGUCGCGGAGAGGGAGGGAGGGAGGACGGCCGCGGAGGAGCCGCCGCCGCCGCCACCGGAGCGGCGCAGGUGGUGGCCGGCGCGGAGGGAGAGAGGGGACGGAGCGCGGCGGUGGAGUGCGGCGGCGCAGUGAGAGAGGGAAAGGGGGAUGGAGGGAGGCGGCUGGCGCGCUCGAGGAGCUCGCUGGAGCCGCCGUCCCGCCAUUGCCGCCGGCCAAGAAGGGGGAGGAAGGAGGCGGAGGAGGAGGGGCGCCAAAUCCGGCCGCGACGGAGCUCGAGGAGGGCGCCUGGGAGUGAUGGGGCUAGGCAUCCGCCUCCGCGCCGCGCCGUGCGCCUCCUCUCCAUGCUCCCCCCGACGCGGUGCGCGCAGUAGUAGGAGGUCGUGCGCGAGGUGCUCCUCUCCAUGCUCCCCCCGACGCGCCGGAGCAGUUCCGGAAGCUCUUCGCCCUGAUGCACUGGGUGUGCGAGUUCAAUACGCCGCGCUCACCGUCCCCUUCUUCCACUGGCUCGUCGGCCCCUCGGAGGUUUGGACUUCUUCACCAAUGAGUUUGGACUCCCCCUCACCAUGAAUCCAAGUAAUAAGCUCUCCCUUGGUGACACUAAUUCAUAUUCAUUCAGUUUUCAGUUCACUAGCUGUCUGAACGUGCAGAAAUGGCUUUGUUCAUAUAACUGGACCUGUACUUGACAUCCAUAUCAGUUCAUGUUGUGUUACGGAGAUUUUGAAGACAUGAGUUGCAAGAUGAUCUACAGUCAGGUGCCACCUCCCUUGCUAUCCGGACCUCUGUGAGUGCUUCCAAAACCACCAACAUGACAACCCAACACUGAAGGGCUGCACUUGCAAAACAGUUGUACUUAUACAUGUUGCUCCUGUUUCUUCGGGUUCCAUGUAUUACAUCAUUGGCUUGAGUUCGAGAAAAUUUGCACAUGAACAUUGUUGUUUAUUGGUGCGGCAGUAACAUUAAUUUCUAUACAUAAUGUACAUAGUGUAGCUUAUAACUACAGUUACAGAGUUGUUCUGAUUCUAAACCAAUACAGAGCAGAUUAUAUAUACAUGUACGUAAUUAUAGUUGAAGGGUUGUUCUGUGCAUUGGUGUGACUGUGAACCAAAAUGAACAGGAUGAUGCUUUUAUCAUGCAAUAGCAUUUUUUGUAGCCAGAAUAACAAAGAAAAAGAAUUGCUGCAUAUCCUGAAUACUCUAGCAAAAUGAAGUCCAAAAAAAAAAACCGUUUUGCCAGUUUGGAGUACGGUGGAAACAGUAAUACAAUGCUUUCAGGGUAAAUUGUUCUUAAUGGUGCACAUAAUCAUUUUAAUUGUUCUUGCCAACUAUGUCUCUUGAGAGCAUGAUCAGUUGGAAAGUUAGACUGACAUAUAUGGGUACAUCUAUGCAUAUAUGUUGGGUACAGGAGAAGAUUAUAAGCAUGCACGUCACCAGAUUUUUCAAGAUGCUGCUAAAGAGACCUUGAAUGCAACUUAUCAACAUGAUUCAAAAGUUGUGCUAUUUUAGUUGAUUACACAUGAGGUUGAGUAUUGAAUUUCCUUUGUUGAUGCUAGUUUUUAUUGCUUUUCUACUUAAAAUUAGAAUGGAUAAUCUUUAUUUCUUAUUUGUUCAAUAUUUGACCCAUACCAUUCGUUGUAGAACAAUUUUUGAGCUGUGUGAGGCUGAUGACCACAUGCUGCAAGAUUAUACUCUAAAGAUCUUCAGGCACAUUGUUAGUGCCUGGCUUCAGGCGUAGGAACUUCAUCCGUAGACUUCUGGCACAAAAUGGUGUCGGCUUCAGACAUAUUAACCUUUUUCUUUCCUUUUUUUCAAAUUGGCCCAACAAUCAAAUAAUGUGAACUAGCAAACAAAAUACUACAUGAUACUUGUGGGGUGACUA